rnacentral:rRNA from 1 species
AUUGAACGCUGGCGGCAUGAUUUACACAUGCAAGUCGAACGGUAACAGGCCGCAAGGUGCUGACGAGUGGCGAACGGGUGAGUAAUGCAUCGGAACGUGCCCAGUCGUGGGGGAUAACUACUCGAAAGAGUAGCUAAUACCGCAUACGAUCUAUGGAUGAAAGCGGGGGACCGUAAGGCCUCGCGCGAUUGGAGCGGCCGAUGUCAGAUUAGGUAGUUGGUGGGGUAAAGGCUCACCAAGCCAACGAUCUGUAGCUGGUCUGAGAGGACGACCAGCCACACUGGGACUGAGACACGGCCCAGACUCCUGCGGGAGGCAGCAGUGGGGAAUUUUGGACAAUGGGCGCAAGCCUGAUCCAGCAAUGCCGCGUGCAGGAAGAAGGCCUUCGGGUUGUAAACUGCUUUUGUACGGAACGAAACGGCUCUGGUUAAUACCCGGGGCUAAUGACGGUACCGUAAGAAUAAGCACCGGCUAACUACGUG